UACCAGCACCCCGAGUGGUCGGGACGAUUAUUGGGCCUAAAGCAUCCGUAGCCGGUCCUACAAGUCUUCCGUUAAAUCCACCUGCUUAACAGAUGGGCUGCGGAAGAUACUAUAGGGCUAGGAGGCGGGAGAGGCAAGCGGUACUCAGUGGGUAGGGGUAAAAUCCUCUGAUCCAUUGAAGAACACCAACGGCGAAAGCACUCUGCUGGGCCGACACUGACACUGAGAGACGAAAGCUAGGGGAGCGAAUGGG
rnacentral:rRNA from 1 species